GCCGCUGUCCGCCUCUCCGCCGCGCCGCCGCUGUCCGCCUCUCCGCCGCUGUCCGCCUCUCCGCCGCUGUCCGCCUCUCCGCCGCUGUCCGCCUCUCCGCCACGCCGGCGCCGGCGCUGUGUGCCUUUGCGAGGGUGGAGCUGCGUUCUCCUCAGCACAGACCCGGAGAGCAUUGCGAGGGCGGAGCUGAGUUCUCCUCUGCACAGACUUCGGAGAUACAGCGAAGGCAGAGCAAUGUUCUCCUCAGCACAGAUCCCGGCGGGCGGGCCGACGGCACCGCGAGGGCGGAGCUGCGUUCUGCUCUGCACAGACCUUGGGGCACUGCCUCGCUUUGGGACAACUCGGGGCCGCAUCGACGGUGAAUAAAAUCCUUCCUGUUUGCAGCCCUGUUUGUGGUUGGUGGCAGCGAUGGACACUGCAGCCAGCCAGAGCGUAGAAAGGCGUCGGGUGAAAGAAGAUGGCCACAGAGACAGACAGCAGCGUGAUCAGAGUGGUAGGAGCCGGCCAUCAGUGAGAGCUGCUCCAUGCCUGGCUGCUGGGUGCUAGAGUCUGCGGCCCACUGGCUUGCCUCACUGUGGUUGGUGGUGGCGGUGACAGAGACUGCAGCACGACCAGAGUGGCUUUUCUGGCUUUGCCGGCCCAGCUGCUCCUUGCCAGGAGGAGGAGGAGACACCUAGAGCCUGCGACACCACAGCUCGCCCUGCUGCGGGUGGGUGGCAGUGACAGAGACUGCAGUGCACCAGAGCGGUAGGAGAGCGGCCAUGCUAGGAGGGCAGGCGGCUGCAGCCAGGGUCAGGCUUACAGCAAUGGACGGGCUGCAGCAGUGACCAGGUGGUAGGAGCCUUGUAGGGAGGGCUGGUGCAUUGGCAAUGGGCCUGGCUUUGCCCUGCGCCUGCUGUGGAUCUGGCCCUGUACUGCCCUGCCUUGCCCUGUACCUGCCCUACUGUUACCUGGACUCUCGGCCCUGUCCUGCUCUGGUCCCAUCCUGACCCUGUCUUGGCCCUGUGCUACCCUGUCCCUUCCCUGGCACUGGCCCUGCCCUGAACCUGCACUGGCCUGACCUUGGCUCUGGCCCUGCCCCUUGUCCUGACCCUGGUCCUGUCAUGGCACUGGCCCUGCCAAUGGUCAUGGUCCUGCUCUUGUUCUGGCCCUGACCUGGCCUUGGAUAUGUCCUGGCCCUGCUUUGGCCCAUCCCUGCCCUGGCCCCACCAUGGGCCUGCCUGUUCUGCCCUCUCCUGGCACUGACCUUGCCCUGUCAUGGCCCAGUGGUGCCAUUGCCCUGCCUUACCCUGCACUGGUUGUGCCUUGGCCCCGCUUGGUGCUGGCCGCUCCCUGGACCUGCCCUGGACCUGCCUUGACCCUGCCUUGGCUUUUGCCCUGCCCUCACUAUGGCCUGGCCCUGGCCCUAGCCCUGGUCCUGCCAUAUCCCUGGCCCUGCCCUUAUCCAGGCCCUGCCCCUGCUGCUGCCCUGGCCCUGGCCUGGAACCUGGUCCUGUCAAGGACCUGCCCUGAUUCUGCCAUGGCCCUGGCCCUGCUCUGCCUUGUUCCUGGCCCUGACCCAGACCCAGACCCUUUCCUGGCUCUGCACUGGCCUUUCCCUGGCCCUGAGCUGGCAGUGGUCUGCCCCUGGUCUUGCCAUCACCCUGCCCUGCUGUGCUCUGGAUGUGUCAUCACCCUGCCCUGGCCCUACUCUGCCUUUGACCCUGCCCUGGUCUUACCUUGGCCCUUACCCUAGUCUUCGCUAGACCCUGCUCUGGAGCUGGCCCUAGCACAGACCUGGCCCUGAUCCUGGCCCUGGUCUUUGUCCUGCCAUAGCCCUGGCCCUGAAGUGAACUUGGAGGUGUCCUGGCCCCGGCGUAACAUGGUUCUGCAUUGGCCUGUCCCUGCCCUGCCGCUACCAUCGCCUUGCCCUGCUCUGCCCUGUCCCAGUACUGACCUGGCCAUGCUAUUUCUCUGCCCUACCCUGCCUUGGCUGUGCCCUGGCUCGGUUCUGGCCCUGGCCCUGGCCCUGCCCUGGACAUGCUCUGACACUGCCUCAGCCUCGGCACUAGCCUGGCUCUUCCUUGGCAUCAGCCCUGCUCUCUGUGUGGACCGGCUCUUGUCCUGUCCUGUACUGGCCAUACCAUGCCCUGCCCUGCCCUGCCUCAGCCCUGGCUCAGCCCUGGCCCAGCCUUGGCCUUGGCAUUGCCCCUGGUCCUGCCAUAUUUCUUGCCCUGUCCCUACCCUGGCCUUGGCCCUGACCCUUACCUUGCCCUGGCCCUGCCCUUGCCCUAACGCAGCCCCUGGCCCUGUCAUGGCCCUGCCCUGGACCUGUCCUGGCCCUGGCUCUUCCCUGCUUGAGACCUUGCCCUGGUUCUUCCCUGGCCCUGACCCUGAAAUGCCUGGCCCUACCCUGGCCUUGCACUGCUCUGGCCCUUGCCCUGACUCUGGUCCUGUCACUGGCCUAGCCCCAGCCCUGUUGCUGGUCUUACCAUGGCCCAGACCCUGCCUUGGCCCUGCCCUGACACUGUCCUGGACCCUGGCUGUGCCAAGAACCUGCACUGUCCUUGCCCUUGUUUUGCUCCUGCCCCGAACCUGGUCCUGCCCAGGCCGUGGCCAUGGCCCUGGCCCCAGCCCUGCCCAGGUCUUGGCACUGGCCUGGCCCUGCCCUGCCCUGGCCCUAUGCUUUCCUGGCCCUGCCUUGCCGGCCCUGGCCCUGCCUUGGCCCUAGCCUAGCUUUGACCCUGCCCUGGCCCUACCUUGGCCUUCACCCUAGCCUUACCUGGGCACUCUGUUGGACCUGGCCAUAGCACAGACCUGGUUGUGGCCCUGGCCCUGCCGUGGCCCUGUCUCAGACCCUAGCCCUGCCAGGUACCUGUCCUGGCCCAGCUCUGGGCCUGGCUUUGUCCCUGGUUCUUAGAUGAACCUGGCCCUGCCCCUGCCCUUGCCCUUGCCCUGGCAUUGGCCUUGGACAUGUCCGUGGUCCUAACCCUGGCCCUGCCCUGGAGCUGCCACUGUCUUGGCUGUGCCCUGGCUCUGGCCCUGCCCCGGCCCUGGCCCUGCCCCGGCCACAGCCAUAGACCUGCCCUGGUUGGUCAUGCCCUACCUUAACCCUGUGCUACCCUGGGCCUGCUCCACCCUGCCCUGGCCCUGCCCUCCCUUUGGCCCUGCCCUGACCCUGCCUUGGCCCUCACACUGGCCCUAGCACAGACCUGGUCCUAUGUGUGGCCUUUGCCUGGCAUUGACCCCUGCUCCUGACCCUGGUCCUGCCAUGGCCCUGGCCCUGCCAAUGACCCUGGCAGCCCUGACCCUGGCCCUGUCUUGGCCCUGGCCCUGAACUGGCCCUGCCCUGACACUGGCCCUGAAGUGGAUUUGCAGGUGUCUUGUCCCUGAUUUAACCUGGUCUUACCAUGGCCCUGUCCCUCCCCUGGCUCUGUCCUGGUCUUGUGCUGACCGUGACCCAGAACUUGGCCCUGCCCCAGCCUUGUCCUAGACCUGGCCAUGGCCCUGCCUCUGCCCUGGACCAGCGCUGGCACUGGCAUGGACCCUGGCCCUGGCCAUU